UGCACAUGAUGAUACCAGAGAACGGUUUCGCAUUUUUCUGCUGAUUAUCUUUUGAUGUCACGUUUCUCUUGGCUAUCUGAUACA
ensembl:snoRNA small nucleolar RNA SNORD53/SNORD92